CCUGAACAGGGGCAGGCAGACUCAUCCUGCCCUCAGUGGGAACCCCCUUCCUCUGGGUACUAGACAGAAUUCUGUGCACUUUCCUGGAGG
rfam:Homo sapiens chromosome Y, GRCh38 reference primary assembly.